AUGAGGUUUUGCUCCGAAGUUCACAUUGGCCAUGCGGGUCAUGAAAUCCGAACUUGCACUGGCCCAAAUAGUGGUUUUCGGAGUGCUUCACAUGUUUGGAAGAAGGGAGGAGUUCAAGAUGUGGUUUCCUUUCCUAAAUGCUUCCAUCUUUAUGAUCGUGUUGGAAAACCAAGAGUUGGGCAUGACGAGAGGUAUCGAAUCCCACAGAUCCCUGCCAUUUUGGAGCUCUGUAUACAGGCUGGUCUAGAGAUUGACGAGUACCCAACAAAGAGAAGAAUGAGACCUGUAUAUUGUAUUGAAGGAAGAAUUGUGGACUUUGAGAUGGUUAACAAAAUGGAUGAAAUGGAUAGAAACUCAUAUCCUGGGAUUGUUGAUACCCUAGUAGAUCCUGAUGUAGGAACUAAUAUGGAAGAAUUGAGAAAUUCAGCUUCACUGAGUCAUACUAACUGUGUAGAUAAAUCGAGUGAUAAAGUGGGGAAAUCUUUGACCGAGUUGAGUAGUACUACAAUGGGCUCAUGGUUUGAGAUGAUAUCCGGAGCAAAGAAUAUCAUGGAGAAAUACAGUGUGAAGACUUGUGGAUAUUGUUUAGAGGUCCAGGUGGGUCCCAAGGGGCACAAAGUGAGGAUGUGCAAGGCAUCAAAGCAUCAAUCUCGUAAUGGUUUGCAUGCAUGGCAAGAAGCAACAAUAGAAGAUCUUGUAGGUCUGAACUAUGUUUGGCAUGUCCGAGACGUAAAUUGUCCUGCUCUGGAUAACAACCUAAAGAGGUAUUAGGCAAGGCUCCAGCUGUGGUGGAGCUAUGUGUGCAGGCAGGUGCACCUGUUCCGGAUGAAUAUAGGAGUAUGAUGAGAUUAGAUGUGGCUUCUCCUGAACGUGAUGAGGUUGAUCUUGUUGCUUGAUAUAAAGUUCCUGUAUGCAGAUGGAUGUGAUAUACUAAAGAGAUGUUAAAAGGGGUUCUGCUGCUCUUCCAUAUUGUGUCUGAAAGCUGCGAGUAAGUAAAGGGGAGGAAAGCUUAUUCGAAGACA